UUCUUCGGGGCAGGGUGAAAUUCCCUACCGGCGGUACAGUCCGCGACCUGUGCCUGCACUGGUAUGAUAGAAAGUGUAGGUAUGGCUGAUUUGGUGAAAUUCCAAAACCGACAGUAAAGUCUGGAUGAGAGAAGAA
rnacentral:ncRNA from 1 species